CUCCCUUCAUCUUGCAUCUUGCAGGGGCUCUCUGGGAAAGACAGGAACCACGACAAAGGCAAGUCCAAGGUGGAACAGUGUUCUCACAUCUCGGGCUGGCCUCUCACAGGUGCAGAAGAUGUUGAGACAGUGACGAUGGAUGAAAUUACAAGAUGACGAAGGAGUGCCCCAUCACAACUUGAAGCACCUGCUUGACAGAGAAACAAAUUCAAGGGGGAGGUGAUUUCGAUGCCAGCAUGUCUCAGCCUACCUCCCAAUUCACAGUGGAUUCAUGAUCUGCAGAAAAAUGAAGAACACAAAGCCCUGCAGGUCAAGCAGAACCACACAGACAGGACACCAAAGGGUUGGGAGACAAAAGAAAGAAGUGCUAAA